rnacentral:sRNA from 1 species
UUAUUUAUUUUGGGGGGACAGAGUCUUGCUCUGUCGCCCAGGCUGGAAUGCAGUGGCACAAUCAUGGCUCACUGCAGCCUCAACUCCCCAGGCUCAACAGAUCCUCCCACCUCAGCCUCCCAAGUAGAUGGGACUACAAGCAUGCCCAGCUAAUUUUGUUUUAAUUUUUUUUUUUUUUAAGAGAUGAGAUCUCCCUGUGUUGCCCAGGCUGAUCUCAAAACUCCUGGACUUAAGGGAUCCUCCUGCCUCAGCCUCCCAAAGUGCUGAGAUUAUAGGCAUAAGCCACGAUGCCCAACCCAUAUGAAUUAUUAUUGAUACCACCAUGCAUGGCUUAAGAAUCCAGUCCUCCUAAUGUAAUAGACCUGUUGGAAGUAUGGUUGACUAAAUACAGAUUCAGAAUUUCCUUACUUUUUAAUUUUUUUAUUAUGGAUUUAGAGGGUACAAGUGCACAUGGGUAUAUUAGAUAGUGGUGAAGUCUGGCCUUUCAGUGUAACCAUCACUCGAAUAAUGUACAUUAUACCCAACAGGUAAUUUCUCAUCCCUCACCCCCCUACCAUGUUCUGGUAAUUACCUUGUUUUAAUAAAAAUACUAUAUGCUAAGUUGGGAAAAUAAAAUUCAAAGAUGUCAAUUAAAAAACUAAAAGACAAUUUUUUUUCCACAUGCUUUUCAGGAGCCUUAAUAAGUAAGUAAAAAAUCACAGAUUUAGAAACACAUUUUCUCAGGUAUUUUAAAUAGAACAUUCCUUUGAAGUCCCAGAGGCCACAAUUUCCUUAUAUUAAUACUGUGAACUUAUGUCUUGGGUUUUUGAUGAGCAAGUGAAUCAUAUGGUAGACACAUGAUAGUGUUCAUUUUUUCCUCAUUCCCCUGCUGUCUUUGUCGAGGUGCUAGCUCAGUUUCCUUUCUGACCAGAACAAUACUAGAUCAAGACUGGUGUGGAACAGGAAUUAAAGUAAUUUGAAAUGUGUCCUUAAACCUGAUUUUUACUUACCUUUCCAAUUGUGUGGACUUUAUUUUUAAGAUCAAAAUGAAAAACUCGUUCAAGAAAAUAGAGAACUACAGUUACAGUAUCUGGAACAAAAGCAACAACUUGAUGAACUUAAAAAACGCAUAAAAUUGUACAACCAGGAGAAUGAUAUUAAUGCUGAUGAAUUGAGUGAAGCUCUCCUACUUAUAAAGGCUCAAAAAGAACAAAAAAAUGGAGACCUUUCCUUUUUAGUGAAAGUAGAUAGUGAAAUUAAUAAAGAUCUAGAACGCUCUAUGAGAGAGCUGCAAGCAACUCAUGCAGAAACGGUGCAAGAGCUGGAAAAGACAAGAAACAUGCUAAUUAUGCAACACAAAAUUAAUAAAGAUUAUCAGAUGGAGGUUGAGGCAGUGACCUGUAAGAUGGAAAAUUUGCAGCAAGAUUAUGAACUCAAAGUGGAACAGUAUGUUCAUCUUCUUGAUAUCAGGGCUGCACGUAUCCAUAAACUAGAAGAAGCUGUAAGUUUGGGGAGCAUAUAAGUGUUCUUCAGCUGUUGGAGUUUUGCAUAUUCUCCAUAACCACAAUUUUCACAGAAAAGCAAGGCAGAUAUUCACGUUGGUGAUAUUUGGUUGGCCUAUGUAUAUAAUGGUGAA